rnacentral:rRNA from 1 species
UANCAAGGUAUCCGUAGGUGAACCUGCGGAUGGAUCA